GCUAAAACAGUAGCUCAGUCGGUGGGGCAAAAGACUCUUAAUCUCAGGGUUGUGGGUUCAAGCCCCACAUUUGGCA